rnacentral:rRNA from 1 species
UCGGCUCCCGCUAUCGGAUGAGCCUAAGUCGGAUUAGCUAGUUGGUGAGGUAACGGCUCACCAAGGCCACGAUCCGUAGCUGGUCUGAGAGGAUGAUCAGCCACAUCGGGACUGAGACACGGCCCGAACUCCUACGGGAGGCAGCAGUGGGGAAUAUUGGACAAUGGGGGGAACCCUGAUCCAGCCAUGCCGCGUGUGUGAAGAAGGCCCUCGGGUUGUAAAGCACUUUCAGCGAGGAAGAACGCCUAGCGGUUAAUACCCGCUAGGAAAGACAUCACUCGCAGAAGAAGCACCGGCUAACUCCGUGCCAGCAGCCGCGGUAAUACGGAGGGUGCAAGCGUUAAUCGGAAUUACUGGGCGUAAAGCGCGCGUAGGUGGCUUGAUAAGCCGGUUGUGAAAGCCCCGGGCUCAACCUGGGAACGGCAUCCGGAACUGUCAAGCUAGAGUGCAGGAGAGGAAGGUAGAAUUCCCGGUGUAGCGGUGAAAUGCGUAGAGAUCGGGAGGAAUACCAGUGGCGAAGGCGGCCUUCUGGACUGACACUGACACUGAGGUGCGAAAGCGUGGGUAGCAAACAGGAUUAGAUACCCUGGUAGUCCACGCCGUAAACGAUGUCGACCAGCCGUUGGGUGCCUAGCGCACUUUGUGGCGAAGUUAACGCGAUAAGUCGACCGCCUGGGGAGUACGGCCGCAAGGUUAAAACUCAAAUGAAUUGACGGGGGCCCGCACAAGCGGUGGAGCAUGUGGUUUAAUUCGAUGCAACGCGAAGAACCUUACCUACUCUUGACAUCCUGCGAAUUUUGUAGAGAUACCUUAGUGCCUUCGGGAACGCAGAGACAGGUGCUGCAUGGCUGUCGUCAGCUCGUGUUGUGAAAUGUUGGGUUAAGUCCCGUAACGAGCGCAACCCUUGUCCUUAUUUGCCAGCGCGUAAUGGCGGGAACUCUAAGGAGACUGCCGGUGACAAACCGGAGGAAGGUGGGGACAACGUCAAGUCAUCAUGGCCCUUACGAGUAGGGCUACACACGUGCUACAAUGGUCGGUACAAAGGGUUGCCAACUCGCGAGAGUGAGCCAAUCCCGAAAAGCCGAUCUCAGUCCGGAUCGGAGUCUGCAACUCGACUCCGUGAAGUCGGAAUCGCUAGUAAUCGUAGAUCAGAAUGCUACGGUGAAUACGUUCCCGGGCCUUGUACACACCGCCCGUCACACCAUGGGAGUGGACUGC